AGAGCGAACGCUGGCGGCAGGCCUAACACAUGCAAGUCGAGCGCCCGUAGCAAUACGGGAGCGGCAGACGGGAUAGUAACACGUGGGAACGCGCCCUUCGGUUCGGAAUAACUCAGGGAAACUUGAGCUAAUACCGAAUACGCCCUUACGGGGAAAGAUUUAUUGCCGAAGGAACGGCCCGCGUCCGAUUAGCUAGUUGGUGAGGUAAUGGCUCACCAAGGCUACGAUCGGUAGCUGGUCUGAGAGGAUGACCAGCAUCACUGGGACUGAGACACGGCCCAGACUCCUACGGGAGGCAGCAGUGGGGAAUAUGGACAAUGGGCGCAAGCCUGAUCCAGCCAUGCCGCGUGGAUGAUGAAGGCCUUAGGGUUGUAAAGUCCUUUUAACGGGAGAUAAUGACGGUACCCGUAGAAUAAGCCCGGCUAACUUCGUGCCAGCAGCCGC
rnacentral:rRNA from 1 species